rnacentral:rRNA from 1 species
GAUGAACGCUGGCGGCGCGCCUAAUACAUGCAAGUCGAGCGAACAGAUAAGGAGCUUGCUCCUUUGACGUUAGCGGCGGACGGGUGAGUAACACGUGGAUAACCUACCUAUAAGACUGGGAUAACUUCGGGAAACCGGAGCUAAUACCGGAUAACAUAUUGAACCGCAUGGUUCAAUAGUGAAAGGCGGCUUUGCUGUCACUUAUAGAUGGAUCCGCGCCGUAUUAGCUAGUUGGUAAGGUAACGGCUUACCAAGGCAACGAUACGUAGCCGACCUGAGAGGGUGAUCGGCCACACUGGAACUGAGACACGGUCCAGACUCCCACGGGAGGCAGCAGUAGGGAAUCUUCCGCAAUGGGCGAAAGCCUGACGGAGCAACGCCGCGUGAGUGAUGAAGGUCUUCGGAUCGUAAAACUCUGUUAUCAGGGAAGAACAAAUGUGUAAGUAACUGUGCACAUCUUGACGGUACCUGAUCAGAAAGCCACGGCUAACUACGUG